ACAAUCAUCCUCUGACAGUGAUUCAUCUGCGAAACUUCUGACUGUUACGUGACUUACAUUGUUGUAAGGUGCAGUGGGUGGAAAUAUCUCUACGUGAUGAGUUUUCUUCCUUUUGCUCUUUCUUGGUUCUUCCUGAUCCAUAAUACCCUUGUCCCCUGCAUCCAUAAGAAGUUGUGAUCAAUCCAGAUUACAAGCGUAAAGUAUGAAAACAGUUAACAGAAGUAUAAUCCAUAAGCUCUAGUUGACGGGAGUUAGAAAUAACUCCACCAAACCUUACUGAAUAUAGGAAAAAUAAUCCAAGUGUUGAUCAGGAAAGAAAUUUUGCACUAUAUUAGUAUGUGAGGAACAUUUGUCAAGACUCUUCUUUAUUAAGUCUGAGUUAGUAUGAGUAUUAUAUUUAUACGACUCAAACUAACCAAUCCACUGUGAUCAUCAAAUAUUCAAAUUAGUAAAUCACAGUAGUUCCUUAGCUUGCUACUUACGCACUAAUAAUUCAGCCAAUGAACAAACGUUGAACAGGUUCAGACAGAGUCUCAAGCAUGGUAAACAUAUUGGACACAUUCACACAACUUAUCUUACAGCUUACAGGCUUAUAACAAUUUAAUAAUUUAUCAUAGUACACCACUUAAUUAAAUGUAAGCGCCUCGACAUAUUUAACAUUAUCCUAAACUCAAUCCCACAGCUCUAGCCUCCAAAUCAUCUCUACUCCACGUCUAAUCAGCAAAUAAACCUCAUCAAAACCUAAUUGCCACACAUUUUUUAAUCCACACAAAUCAAGUAAAGAGAUAAUGCUACAAACAUGAUUCAAAAACACAUAAAAACAUGUAUAUUCACAACCAGGAUUCAAUGAUUCAUUAAACAGAAAUAUAUUGAGUAUUGAUUAUGUAAUUUAUACACACAAAACAUAUGUAUAUAUACAUAUAAUAUAUAUAACUAUGCGAAUCGAUGUAAAAAGAAAUGGUACCUCUUUGAUUUUUAGCAGUAAAUCGACGGGGUCGGUGUCAGUGUCGCCUGUCGGUGUCGGUGUCGGUGGUCGCGAGUCGCUUAAAGAGGAAAGUAGUCUACUAGUCUUCGGAGUUCGUAUGCAGUUUAGACUAUUUAGGGGUUUAAUUACAUGAUACAGGCCUGGCCUGCUGUUUGUUGGGCUUUAAAAUAUACGUUUGGGCUUCUAUAAUAUCCUGAUCCAGUAAUAUUAUAAACGGGUACUCGACUCGGCUCGUCAAAUACCGGCUCGUGUAACUCACGAGUAUACUCGACUCGACUCGUAUAAUAACCGAGUCGAGUCCGAUCAGG
rnacentral:lncRNA from 1 species